rnacentral:lncRNA from 1 species
GCUCACAGAUACACUUUCUAGCGUAUACAUAAUUGUUGUAUUCUAGCAGCGAUUAAAAAGCUGCUGUAAAUCUUUCCAAUGUGAAAGACUAUAAGAGGUGUAAAAGUGCCUAUAUAUGGACAUAUGCAUGGUUUUACUUUAUGGUAAAUAAUUAAAACAGUUAUUGUUAUGGUGUUUAAUUGAUAUUGUUACUGGUGUAAUAAAUAAAUAAACUUUGGGAUUCUUGGAGAAGUAUUCCAAUAUGCCAACUUCAUUUCCCAUAGACUCUAUAGUAACG